rnacentral:rRNA from 1 species
CCUACGGGUGGCAGCAGUGGGGAAUAUUGCACAAUGGGGGAAACCCUGAUGCAGCGACGCCGCGUGAGUGAAGAAGUAAUUCGUUAUGUAAAGCUCUAUCAGCAGGGAAGAAAAUGACGGUACCUGAGUAAGAAGCCACGGCUAACUACGUGCCAGCAGCCGCGGUAAUACGUAGGGGGCAAGCGUUAUCCGGAUUUACUGGGUGUAAAGGGAGCGUAGACGGCAGUGCAAGUCUGGAGUGAAAGGUGGGGGCUCAACCCCUAGAGUGCAACUGAUACUGUAUAACUUGAGUGUGAGAGAGGGAAGCGGAAUUCCUAGUGUAGCGGUGAAAUGCGUAGAUAUUAGGAGGAACACCAGUGGCGAAGGCGGCUUUCUGGCUCAUAACUGACGCUGAGGCGCGAAAGCGUGGGGAGCAAACAGGAUUAGAUACCCUUGUAGUC